GUGAGGAAUAUUGGUCAAUGGGCGGAAGCCUGAACCAGCCAUCCCGCGUGAAGGAAGGCGGCCCUAUGGGUUGUAAACUUCUUUAGUACAUGAAGAACAGGAUCUACGCGUAGGUUUAUGACGGUAAUGUACAAAAAAGCAUCGGCUAACUCCGUGCCAGCAGCCGCGGUAAUACGGAGGAUGCGAGCGUUAUCCGGAUUCAUUGGGUUUAAAGGGUACGUAGGUGGCCCUGUAAGUCAGUGGUGAAAAUCUGCCGCUUAACGGUAGGGGUGCCAAUGAUACUGCGGGGCUUGAGUACAGUUGAGGUAGGUGGAAUGUGUAGUGUAGCGGUGAAAUGCAUAGAUAUUACACAGAACUCCGAUUGCGAAGGCAUCUUACUAAGCUGAAACUGACACUGAUGUACGAAAGCGUGGGGAUCGAACAGGAUUAGAUACCCGUGUAGUCC
rnacentral:rRNA from 1 species